AGAUUGAACGCUGGCGGCAGGCCUAACACAUGCAAGUCGAGCGGUAGAGAGGUGCUUGCAUCUCUUGAGAGCGGCGGACGGGUGAGUAAUGCCUAGGAAUCUGCCUAGUGGUGGGGGAUAACGUUCGGAAACGGACGCUAAUACCGCAUACGUCCUACGGGAGAAAGCGGGGGACCUUCGGGCCUCGCGCCAUUAGAUGAGCCUAGGUCGGAUUAGCUAGUUGGUGAGGUAAUGGCUCACCAAGGCGACGAUCCGUAACUGGUCUGAGAGGAUGAUCAGUCACACUGGAACUGAGACACGGUCCAGACUCCUACGGGAGGCAGCAGUGGGAAUAUUGGACAAUGGGCGAAAGCCUGAUCCAAGCCAUGCCGCGUGUGUGAAGAAGGUCUUCGGAUUGUAAAAGCACUUUAAAGUUGGAAGGAAGGUUGUAACCUAAUACGUUGCAACUUUGACGUUACGACAGAAUAAGCACGGCUAACUUCGUGCCAGCAGCCGACGG
rnacentral:rRNA from 1 species